UAAAGUUGUUCCAGUUAUAAAGCUCGUAGUUGAAUUCCGGGGUUAGUAGGUUGGUCGUGCCACUGGUAUGUACUGGCUUUACUGAUUCCUCCUUCUUGAAGAACUGUAAUGUCAUUAAUUUGAUGUUGCAGGGAAACAGGACUGUUACUUUGUAAAAAUUAGAGUGUUUAAAGCAGGCUAACGCCUGAAUACAUUAGCAUGGAAUAAUGAAAUAGGACGUUUGAUCCUAUUUUGUUGGUUGCUAGGAUUGACGUAAUGAUUAAUAGGG
rnacentral:rRNA from 1 species